rnacentral:rRNA from 1 species
CCUACGGGUGGCAGCAGUGAGGAAUAUUGGUCAAUGGGCGGGAGCCUGAACCAGCCAAGCCGCGUGAGGGAAGAAGGUACAGCGUAUCGUAAACCUCUUUUGUCAGGGAACAAAGGCGGGGACUAGUCCCCGGAUGAGGGUACCUGAAGAAAAAGCAUCGGCUAACUCCGCGCCAGCAGCCGCGGUAAUACGGGGGAUGCGAGCGUUAUCCGGAUUUAUUGGGUUUAAAGGGUGCGCGGGCGGCCUGUUAAGUCAGCGGGAAAAGCCCGGGGCUCAACCCCGCCGAGCCGUUGAAACUGGCGGGCUGGAGUUGGAGAGAAGUACGCGGAAUGCGCGGUGUAGCGGUGAAAUGCUUAGAUAUCGCGCAGAACCCCGAUGGCGAAGGCAGCGUACCGGCUCCACACUGACGCUGAGGCACGAAAGCGUGGGUAUCGAACAGGAUUAGAUACCCGAGUAGUC